rnacentral:rRNA from 1 species
CCUACGGGAGGCAGCAGUGAGGAAUAUUGGUCAAUGGACGAGAGUCUGAACCAGCCAAGUAGCGUGAAGGAUGACUGCCCUAUGGGUUGUAAACUUCUUUUAUAUGGGAAUAAAAUGUUCCACGUGUGGGAUUUUGUAUGUACCAUAUGAAUAAGGAUCGGCUAACUCCGUGCCAGCAGCCGCGGUAAUACGGGGGAUCCGAGCGUUAUCCGGAUUUAUUGGGUUUAAAGGGAGCGUAGGUGGAUUGUUAAGUCAGUUGUGAAAGUUUGCGGCUCAACCGUAAAAUUGCAGUUGAAACUGGCAGUCUUGAGUACAGUAGAGGUGGGCGGAAUUCGUGGUGUAGCGGUGAAAUGCUUAGAUAUCACGAAGAACUCCGAUUGCGAAGGCAGUUCACUGGACUGCAACUGACACUGAGGCUCGAAAGUGUUGGUAUCAAACAGGAUUAGAUACCCCGGUAGUC